CAGCAGCCGCGGUAAUACGGAGGGUGCAAGCGUUAAUCGGAAUUACUGGGCGUAAAGCGCACGCAGGCGGUCUGUUAAGUCAGAUGUGAAAUCCCCGGGCUUAACCUGGGAACUGCAUUUGAAACUGGCAGGCUAGAGUCUUGUAGAGGGGGGUAGAAUUCCAGGUGUAGCGGUGAAAUGCGUAGAGAUCUGGAGGAAUACCGGUGGCGAAGGCGGCCCCCUGGACAAAGACUGACGCUCAGGUGCGAAAGCGUGGGGAGCAAACAGGAUUAGAUACCCCAGUAGUCCCUGUCUCUUAUAC
rnacentral:rRNA from 1 species